GUACUAUUGCGGCCGCCCUCUGCUGUGCCUGAAGACGGAAGCGACUCUACACGCCUCACAGUAUGCACUGUCACUAAAAAGACGAUGCGUCCUCCUGGAGCUGAGAUCUUUGUGAUCGUGGGACAGCGACGAAAAACGAACAAAAGAACAGUAAAUGGAAUAACUUGGCUAGAAUAUGGCAGUAACUACAAGGCAUGUUCUGCUCUGGCACGAAGAUGGAGUCUCGUUCUGUUGCCCAGGCUGGAGUGCAAUAGUACAAUCUUGGCUCACUGCAACCUCCGCCUCCCGGCUUCAAGCGAUUCUUCUGCCUCAGCCUCCUGAGUAGCUGGGAUUACAGACAACCAACCUGAGGCACCAGACACAUGAGUGAAGCCAUCUUGCACUUCCCAGUCACAGCCAAACUCACUCCUGAGUGCAUCUGCAUGAUGAACCCAGAAAUCCCCACCACGGAGCAAAGG
rnacentral:antisense_RNA from 1 species